rnacentral:tRNA from 1 species
GGAUAUAGCUCAGUUGGUAGAGUGCUUGCCUCACAUGUACAAGGCCCUGGGUUCAAUUCCCAGCACCA